rnacentral:lncRNA from 1 species
CAUUAUCCAUCUUCUCUUUUAACUUCAUGGCCAAGGUUACUUCACUUGCAAACAAGCCAUGCUUGUUUUUUCAAGCCAUCACCUUGACCUCCAUGGUAGCUUCACUACCAAGUGUCUUGAGUCAUAAUCAAAACUCCAAGUCAUCCUUUCAUAUCAUUCAAUCACCUUCAUUCAAUUCAUCAAAACAUUAAUAAACCAAGCAUGUUUCAUGAGGUGUUCAAGCAAGUUUCAAAGUGGAAUUUUGUGCAUCAAUGCAAACAAUCCACUCAAAGACAAUGCAACCAUGUGUAGUAUAAUAAGGACCAUUCUAUUCACUCACAAACAAUUGUGCACACAUUUUAAAAUCCACAUUUUUAUAUUCAAUCAUAGCUAACAAUACAUACUAACUACACCAACAAAUCCUUAUAGCAGGAAGUUACUUUAACAAGAAUUGACACAUUAACAGAUCUGCAUCAGUAACCACAGUAACAUCAAAAUUCACAUAACAUAAGUUAAUUUCUAUCAUGUUUUAAAUACAAUUCACAACAUUACCCCUAACAUCUGCAUAACAUUCACUAACAGAGAACUUGUUAACUAAAACUAACAAUUCAUAACAGUAGCAAUAGUAAACAAUUUACAACAUUCAUUUAAGGGAAAAUUCGACUAACAUCAACAACAAUACAUUGACAAUAACAGAAAUACAGCUAAUCAACUUAACAAACCUAGAACUAACCUAAUUCAUUUUAACAGAGGGAUUAACAACUAAUAACAGCUAAUUGACAUCCUAACAGAAAUCAUCAUAACCGCUUUUCACGAUUUUCCACAUCUAACAUUGUUAAUCACACUCAACAAACUUGAACUGGAAAAAGCUAACAGAACAUCACAGAGUUAGUAUAGGACAUUGAGACAAAGGGAAUGGUGUAGAACUUGUUGUGUUUGACCUUCC